UACGUAGGGCGCGAGCGUUGUCCGGAAUUAUUGGGCGUAAAGAGCUCGUAGGCGGCUUGUCGCGUCGGUUGUGAAAGCCCGGGGCUUAACCCCGGGUCUGCAGUCGAUACGGGCAGGCUAGAGUUCGGUAGGGGAGAUCGGAAUUCCUGGUGUAGCGGUGAAAUGCGCAGAUAUCAGGAGGAACACCGGUGGCGAAGGCGGAUCUCUGGGCCGAUACUGACGCUGAGGAGCGAAAGCGUGGGGAGCGAACAGG
rnacentral:rRNA from 1 species